rnacentral:rRNA from 1 species
CCUACGGGUGGCAGCAGUGAGGAAUAUUGGUCAAUGGACGAGAGUCUGAACCAGCCAAGUAGCGUGAAGGAUGACUGCCCUAUGGGUUGUAAACUUCUUUUAUAAAGGAAUAAAACGAGGCACGUGUGCCUUUUUGCAUGUACUUUAUGAAUAAGGAUCGGCUAACUCCGUGCCAGCAGCCGCGGUAAUACGGAGGAUCCGAGCGUUAUCCGAUUUAUUGGGUUUAAAGGGAGCGUAGAUGGGUUGUUAAGGCCGUUGUGAAAGUUUGCGGCUCAAACGUAAAAUUGCAAUUGAUACUGGCAGUCGUGAGUACAGUUGAGGUAGGCGGAAUUCGUGGUGUAGCGGUGAAAUGCUUAGAUAUCACGAAGAACCCCGAUUGCGAAGGCAGCUUACUAAACUGUGACUGACAUUGAUGCUCGAAAGUGUGGGUAUCAAACAGGAUUAGAUACCCGGGUAGUC